CUGCAGCCCGAGUGGUGAUCGAUUUUAUUGAGUCUAAAGCGUCCGUAGCCGGACUAGUAAACCCUUGGGUAAAUUGGGCAGCUUAACUGUCCAAAUUCCGAGGGGACUGCUAGUCUUGGGACCGGGAGAGGUCAGAGGUACUCAAGGGGUAGGGGCUAAAUCCUGUAAUCCUUGGGGGACCACCAGUGGCGAAGGCGUCUGACUAGAACGGAUCCGACGGUAAGGGACGAAACCCUGGGGCGCGAACCGGAUUAGAUACCCGAGUAGUCC
rnacentral:rRNA from 1 species